rnacentral:rRNA from 1 species
GGUUAAUUUUCCGCAAUGGGCGAAAGCCUGACGGAGCAAUACCGCGUGAGGGAAGAAGGCUCUUGGGUUGUAAACCUCUUUUCUUAGGGAAGAAAAAAAUGACGGUACCUAAGGAAUAAGCAUCGGCUAACUCCGUGCCAGCAGCCGCGGUAAUACGGAGGAUGCAAGCGUUAUCCGGAAUGAUUGGGCGUAAAGCGUCCGCAGGUGGCAAGUCAAGUUUGCGGUUAAAGGCUCUGGCUCAACCAGAGACAGGCCGUGAAAACUGACUAGCUAGAGUAUGGUAGGGGCAGAGGGAAUUCCCAGUGUAGCGGUGAAAUGCGUAGAGAUUGGGAAGAACACCGGUGGCGAAAGCGCUCUGCUAGGCCAAAACUGACACUGAGGGACGAAAGCUAGGGGAGCGAAUGGGAUUAGAUACCCCAGUAGUCCUAGCCGUAAACGAUGGAUACUAGGUGUAGCUUGUAUCGACCCAAGCUGUGCCGUAGCUAACGCGUUAAGUAUCC